rnacentral:tRNA from 1 species
CAAGGAAUAGUUUAAUUUAAAAAUUUAAACUUUGGAAGUUUAAGAUAAGGUCAUUUUCCUUGA